GGUCAGGCCUACCUGCAGGCAAAAGAAAAACUGCAGGACUGGCAAGUUAGUGAGUUGUGCUGUACAGUGUUCUGCUCCCACACCUGCCCUCUCCUCCCUCUUGUUCCGGGAAGCACCGCAUAGAGCCUCCUGGGUGAGAGAGCUGCUGUGCCCAGCGAGGCUUUGACGUCGUUGCCAAUCCUAACUCGAGCCUUCUUUUCUGUUCUUAUCAAAGGUUCUUCAGAAGACUUGAAAUUCUGUGUGCUGUACCUGGCAGAGAAGGCAGAGUGCUUAUUCACUUUGGAGGCUCACUCGCAGGAGCAGAAGAAGAGAGUGUGCUGGUGCCUGUCGGAGAACAUCGCCAAGCAGCAACAGCUGGCUGCAACACCUACGGAG
rnacentral:lncRNA from 1 species